AGAGGUUUUCUAGGUUUCUGUUUCUUUAGUGAUGACGAAACACACCUGGUUAACCGCUUU
rnacentral:pre_miRNA from 1 species